rnacentral:rRNA from 1 species
GAUGAACGCUGGCGGCGUGCCUAAUACAUGCAAGUCGAGCGAACAGACGAGGAGCUUGCUCCUCUGACGUUAGCGGCGGACGGGUGAGUAACACGUGGAUAACCUACCUAUAAGACUGGGAUAACUUCGGGAAACCGGAGCUAAUACCGGAUAAUAUAUUGAACCGCAUGGUUCAAUAGUGAAAGACGGUUUUGCUGUCACUUAUAGAUGGAUCCGCGCCGCAUUAGCUAGUUGGUAAGGUAACGGCUUACCAAGGCAACGAUGCGUAGCCGACCUGAGAGGGUGACCAGCCACACUGGACCUGAGACACGGUCCAGACUCCUACGGGAGGCAGCAAUAGGGAAGCUUCCGCAAUGGGCGAAAGCUUGACGGAGCAACGCCGCGUGAGUGAUGAAGGUCUUCGGAUCGUAAAACUCUGUUAUUAGGGAAGAAAAAAUAUGUAAGUAACUAUGCACGUCUUGACGGUACCUAAUCAGAAAGCCACGGCUAACUACGUG